rnacentral:rRNA from 1 species
UACGGAGGGAGCUAGCGUUGUUCGGAAUUACUGGGCGUAAAGCGCACGUAGGCGGCGAUUCAAGUCAGAGGUGAAAGCCCGGGGCUCAACCCCGGGAGGCGGGCGGAUACUGUCGGGCUAGAGUCCGGAAGAGGCGAGUGGAAUUCCUGGUGUAGCGGUGAAAUGCGCAGAUAUCAGGAGGAACACCAAUGGCGAAGGCAGCUCGCUGGGACGGUACUGACGCUGAGGCGCGAAAGCGUGGGGAGCAAACAGG